UUCCGGUUGAUCCUGCCGGACCUGACUGCUAUCGGAUUGAUACUAAGCCAUGCGAGUCAUUGUAGCAAUACAAGGCAGACGGCUCAGUAACGCGUAGUCAACCUAACCUAUGGACGGGAAUAACCUCGGGAAACUGAGAAUAAUGCCCGAUAGAACACUAUGCCUGGAAUGGUUUGUGUUCCAAAUGAUUUAUCGCCGUAGGAUGGGACUGCGGCCUAUCAGUUUGUUGGUGAGGUAAUGGCCCACCAAGACUAUUACAGGUACGGGCUCUGAGAGGAGUAGCCCGGAGAUGGGUACUGAGACACGGACCCAGGCCCUAUGGGGCGCAGCAGGCGAGAAAACUUUGCAAUGUGCGAAAGCACGACAAGGUUAAUCCGAGUGGUUUCUGCUAAAGGAACCUUUUGUUAGUCAUAGAACCACUAAUGAAUAAGGGGUGGGCAAGUUCUGGUGUCAGCCGCCGCGGUAAAACCAGCACCUCAAGUGGUCAGGAUGAUUAUUGGGCCUAAAGCAUCCGUAGCCUGCUUUGUUAGUUUUCGGUUAAAUCCAUACGCUCAACGUAUGGGCUGCCGGGAAUACUGCAAAGCUAGGGAGUGGGAGAGGUAGACGGUACUCGGUAGGAAGGGGUAAAAUCCUUUGAUCUAUUGAUGACCACCUGUGGCGAAGGCGGUCUACCAGAACACGUCCGACGGUGAGGGAUGAAAGCUGGGGGAGCAAACCGGAUUAGAUACCCGGGUAGUCCCAGCUGUAAACUAUGCAAACUCGGUGAUGCAUUGGCUUGAUGCCAAUGCAGUGCCGCAGGGAAGCCGUUAAGUUUGCCGCCUGGGAAGUACGUACGCAAGUAUGAAACUUAAAGGAAUUGGCGGGGGAGCACCACAAGGGGUGAAGCCUGCGGUUCAAUUGGAGUCAACGCCGGAA
rnacentral:rRNA from 1 species